AGGAACCAUGGCUCACUGGAGCACCAUCUUUGGAGUCUAGCUAACACAGCAUCUUGGAUGCACUCCUAAGAGAAGACUACCUGAAAGGCGUGUACACUGGUCUAGCAGUUGAGAUCAGCUAGUGUUCCAUCUAUCUUCUGUCAUGUAUCUCUUCUAAGAUGUCUUGAUCGACUGACCCCAAAGCCAGAGGGUACCAGGUCAAAAAGCAAGAAAACAAACAAUACUGACAUUAGAGAGAAGCAAAGUUUCUAUAGAAAACCUAUUACACUGUGGUAUAAAUCAAGAUGAACCUGCAGACAUCUAUUUUAGUUUGGAAGUCUGGAAAAGUUCAAGAUUGGCCAUCUGCAGCUGGUGAGAGCCUCAGGCUGCUUCCCCUCAUGGUGGAAGGUGAAGGGGAGCUGGUGUGUGCAGAGAUUACAUGCUUUUCUAGGUCAUCAUUCUAGGCUUUGUUGAAGCAUGCAUUUUUGGCAUGAGGGUGGCAGCCUUUGCACUAUGUGCAUGGCUGAGGAGUUAGGAUCUGGAGGGUGAUGAAAGCAAAGGUGCUGCUGGUUACUCUUGGUUCAUCUAGCAAUAGAUGAUCUGAAUGUUAGAGUUCGCCAAAUAUUGUUCCUGGGCAGUCUUUGCUCUACCAAAUCAACUUUCUCCAUGGGGGAGCUAGAAGUCACCCCACAUUCUCCGCCAUGGCCAGCUCUACAUUCUAAGAGAUGACAAAGACACAAGGAGCCAAGACAGAUCAUUCAAGCAUAUUCAUUGCCUCUAUCUUCAUCCCAUUAAAUAACAUCCCGCCAACCAAAGCAAGUUAUCUGCAUAAGAAUAAAUAUUCCACCUACUCUACUGCAAGGCCCUGCAAGAGUCAUGAGACAAAAGGCAAAUGCAUUUGUUUCCCUCUAUUCAUUAUUAGAAGAGAGGAGAUUACAUACCAGACAUAUACCAAUAGGUUUUCUCUUCAUAAUACCUACGUCAUCUAGUAGCAUAACAUAAGGCAGAAUCCUUCAAAGAUUUUCACCUGAACUUUUCUUGAGCAUCUCUAGACAGUCACAUGCAGAAUAACAACUGGGUUUUAGGACUCCUGUUCACCACCACUACCUCUACACAUAGCAGAUCCACGUAAGACACUUGCAUCCAAGACAAGUCAGAAUGAUUACAUAUGAAAGUUUUAAUUGCACUGUAUGGGGAUAUUGCUGUGUUGUGAAUUAAAUAAGAAUUCAUAUUUUCUUA
rnacentral:lncRNA from 1 species